UGUGCAGUUGCCAGGGAAGGCCAAAUCUAGAGUGCCCCAGAAGUGACAAAAAGGAAACUUUUUUGUUUGCCUGCCAUCGUGCGGACUGAGUCAAGGAGGAAUUUUAGCAACAUGUAAUUUACUCUUGGGUCUUUUUACUGUACGUAGCUUUAGAGAUGGUAAUUUCUCCCUUUGUCGGUGUGAAAAGAUAACCAUCAAUCAGUUGUCAAUUGGUCAAUUGCAGAGGUGAUGAAAAGGAAGGGGUUGAACAACCCCCUCUCUCUGGCUACCUAGAGUAUUCAGGAGCCUUGGAAAAACGUGGCAGCUGGAGCAGAGCAGGGAGUGGAUCCGUCACACAGGUACAGCAGCCACGGGGUAGCGAGCAAAACAGCAGCGCUCAGCGAGCAGCGUGAGCGGCGGUACGCUGAAGUAAGAGCACUGGCUUUUGGAAAGACCUGCAGACUACCGGGCGAGUAAAGAGAGAGAGAGAGAGACAGCCUGCCGCUGUUUCGGUCGAGCAGAGAGCGGGAUCUCCGGCGGCUGAAGAGUGGUUCUUGAAUCGGCCAGAUACUGUUCCAUCCUCUUUUCUGCCAAUCAAGCAAAGAUGAGGACAACACCCAAACUGGCACCGCCGUAUAAGAAGAGGACCCAAUUGUUCCAAAAGGCCUUGAUUUUGCUCCCCCGCCGUCCGCGCGGAGGCUGCCGCAGCUGUGGGCAGCAACAGGUGAGAAAAGGUGAGAGGACCCUGUUGACAUCCGUAUGACCGUAUGACCAAGACGAGACCUGUCUGUCCAGGAGACGGAGACCACACCAGAUAUGUUUUACCUGCCAUGGUUGUGAUAAUUGGAUUUUCUGGACACCUGUAUGAGUGCAGUAUAUCCAGCGGAUUAUAACCAGGGAGAGGGUGUCCUUCUGAUGUUCUUGAUGCACAUCCAAGGGUACUCGUCCGUUGAUGGGUGAUGGAGAUGAGGUUCCUUCUGCUAUAACCCUGGCCUUCAAGAACAGCUUCAAAGACAGGACCUAAGGAGAGAUCAGUCACGCAAAACACAUCUACACACCACUGCUUCUGCUGCAAAUGUGAGGGCAUGAUCUGUCUCUGUGAAGAAUAAACAAUAUGCACCUUGUGAAAUUCUCAGAACAUGGUUCAUUUUGAAACUGUUACAACUGAAACAACAGAACUUUUUACCAAUAGAGGUUACGCUGCUUAUGAUAUGAACUGUAUCGUCCACUGAUAUAUUGGAUUUCAUGAUGUUACAUAACUUCAAUCUGUGAUCAAAUUAAAUCAAUGAAAUCA